rnacentral:tRNA from 1 species
GGGGUAGUAGCUCAGUGGAUAAAACGCUCACCUGGUAUGUGUGAGGCCCUGGGUUGGAUCCUCAGCACCACA